rnacentral:piRNA from 4 species
GAUAGCUCAGUCGGUAGAGCAUCA